UUUCUAUUCUUUUAAAACAGAUCCCUUUUCAACGCUCCGAAAACCCAGAGAGACAGGAAAGGGGAAAAAAAGAAAAGGAGAAACCUAACCCCCUUUCAACUGUUUUUCAGUCUCUGCAGCGCCUAACUUUCUUUCUAUGAUCAUCUCCUCUCCAAUCUAAUGGCAUCCUUCAGUGAUGGCGUCUCCUGCUAUAAUUGUUCAAUAUUGGCCUUCGUGGUUUUAGGGAUUUUUGUCCAAGCGCAUAGAGGAGCACAUGUCCAAGGUUAUCAGAAUGACUUGUAACAUCUUGGUUUGAUAUUCGGUGAAGUUAUGUUGGUGACCGAUAAUUCUGUGGAAGAGCAUUCACAAAAUAUGUUCAUGUUGAAGUCUUUUGGAGGGGUUUCAAAGCUUUUUCGUCCUGGAGUGUUUCGUGGGAUAUUGGAGGAACUUUUCGGCAGCUCUGGGGGACACCUUACUGCUGAUUCUAUUUUGUCAUGUUUCGGUGGACUUAAGAAGUUAGCAGUAGCAGGUGAAAGUACUUGAUGGAAAGCUUUAUAGGUUUUAUAGAUAUUGAAUCUCAAUAGAGUAAAUAGUUCACAUUGCACAAUAAUUCUGGAAACUUGUUUCUUUUGAAGUUCUAGAGUAUAUAGUUGAUAUUGCAAUAUAUAAGUAUGGAAACUUUUUUCUCUUGAAUUUCUAGAGUAUAUAGUUGUUGAUGUUACAGUAUGUAAGUCUGAAAACUUGUUUCUCUUGAUGUUAUAUAUGGUAUAUAGUUGCCAUUGGUAAGUCUGGAAAGUUGUUUCUUUGAAGAUCAAUAGAUUGUGGUAUAAAAAACUUGUUUCUCUU